GCCCCUGUGGUUACUGGAUGCUGUUUGCAGGUACAGCUCUCCAGUGGAUGUGAAGGGCCAGAGCAACCCUGUGAUUGAUGCAUGGGGGCUAUUUCUCCUCAGCAGCCGCCAUAGCCCGGUCACUGAUACAUGG
ensembl:snoRNA